AUGAAUAUGGAACGAGCACCUUGGUCGAAUGCUGAGUUAACCCUCUGCGCGCUGCAGCAAUGCACCCCAAAGGGCCCAGCAGGGCUCAGGACUCGUAGCCUGGCCCAGGCCAGCUGCUCGGUGUGGGGCGGAGCCUCACCUGCUGCUCCGCCCCCAGGAAGCAGGUGGAUUAGUCUACUUGCCUCGCUCCCCAGACAGAGCAGGGCAGAGCAGGCUGCCAGGAGGAGGGAAAGGGAGAGCUUGGGGCAUGAGGUGUGUCUGCGUCCUGGCUCCUGCCCAUCUCUCCGGGCCGGUCCCAGGUGCAGAGCACUGAACUGGGCCUGGGAUUGUGGAUGCUGUCACAGCCAGAGAGGCACAGGCAAGGAGGAGGGCUGGGUUUCCUCCUGCAGGGCUAUCUCUGCUGCACUACCAGCCUGACCUCUGUCCAAGGCCCAGGUGGGUGUAGCUGUGGAAAGCAAGGUAUGACUUGUGGCAGGGGUUGCUGGGGAGGGAGACACAGUCCAGGGCCUCUCGCUGUCUGCUCUCCCAAGCUUACGCUCCAGAGCCUGGCAAGCUCUGAACAAUGUCUUGCACUAUGUCCACAGUAAAGAUCAUGAGAAGUCUGACUUGUAUUUUUAAAUGUUUUUUUUUUAAUCACAAAAAGUUUCAAGCAUAUACGAGAGAGAAUAACGCAGUCAUACUCGUAGGCCUAAACUUCAAUCGUAUUGAAGUGGUUGCGUGCCCCACCUUACUCUAAAUAUAUUUCUACUUCUUUCUACCCUCUGAUUGUAUUGUUUUCUUUUUUGAGCCAGGGUCUCCCUAUGUAGUUCAGGCUGACCUUAAACUCACUAUGUAGACCAGGCUGGCCUCGAACUCACAGCAGUCCUCCUGCCUCAGCCUCCCAAGUGCUGUGAUCAUAGGUGUGUGCCACCACAUCUGACUUCUACCUCCUGAUGAUUUUGAAGAAAAUCCUAGACAGUUCCUCAUUUUAUCUCUAAAGACUCUUAAGACAAAAAAAAGACAGCAAAAUAUUCCUGAACAAAAUGAGCAAUUCCUUAAUAUAGUCAAAUCCUAUUAGUGAUUGUGUUUCUCUGGUUAUCAUCGUUUUACAAGGUUUCUCCCUGUUUUCUGUUUAAUUUUGAUCCAAACAAGGUCUGUACAUUUUGAUCGGUUGCCAUAGCCUUAAAGUCACUCCUGAUCCAUAGGUGUUUUCCUGAAGAACUGGGUCAUUUGUCUCUCAGAGUUUUUCACGUUCUGGAUUUGGCCGAUGACACCCUCACUGUGUCAUUUAACAUGUUCGGUUGUCCUGUAUGUCCUGCAAAUGUAGUUGGAUGUGGGGCUUUGGUCUACUUCAGGUUCCUUCAGUUUAUCUACUUGUCCUUGUGUGCACAUC
rnacentral:lncRNA from 1 species